UACGAAGGGGGCUAGCGUUGCUCGGAAUUACUGGGCGUAAAGGGAGCGUAGGCGGAUAGUUCAGUCAGAGGUGAAAUCCCGGGGCUCAACCUCGGAACUGCCUUUGAUACUGGCCAUCUUGAGUAUGGGAGAGGUGUGUGGAACUCCGAGUGUAGAGGUGAAAUUCGUAGAUAUUCGGAAGAACACCAGUGGCGAAGGCGACACACUGGCCCAUUACUGACGCUGAGGCUCGAAAGCGUGGGGAGCAAACAGG
rnacentral:rRNA from 1 species